AUUGAACGCUGGCGGAAUGCUUUACACAUGCAAGUCGAACGGCAGCACGGACUUCGGUCUGGUGGCGAGUGGCGAACGGGUGAGUAAUGUAUCGGAACGUGCCCAGUCGUGGGGGAUAACGUAGUGAAAAUUACGCUAAUACCGCAUACGAUCUAGGGAUGAAAGAGGGGGAUCGCAAGACCUCGCGCGAUUGGAGCGGCCGAUAUCAGAUUAGGUAGUGGGUGGGGUAAAGGCCCACCAAGCCAACGAUCUGUAGCUGGUCUGAGAGGACGACCAGCCACACUGGAACUGAGACACGGUCCAGACUCCUACGGGAGGCAGCAGUGGGGAAUUUUGGACAAUGGGCGAAAGCCUGAUCCAGCCAUUCCGCGUGCAGGAUGAAGGCCCUCGGGUUGUAAACUGCUUUUGUACAGAACGAAAAGGUUUCUACUAAUACUAGGAGCUCAUGACGGUACUGUAAGAAUGAGCACCGGCUAACUACGUGCCAGCCGCCGCGGUAA
rnacentral:rRNA from 1 species